GAUGAACGCUGGCGGCAUGCCUAACACAUGCAAGUCGGACGGGCAGUGGUGUUUCUUGUGGCGCUGGGGUGAGCAACGCGCAAGAACGUGACCUUGGGAGGGGCUCAAUAGAUGGAAAGGGUAGCUAAUAGACCGCAGGCCGAGGAGCAAAAGGAGGAAUCCGCCCGAGGAGGGGCUAGUGUCUGAUUAGCUAGCUGGUGAUUCAAUAGCUGACCACGGCGCAGGUCAGAAGCUGGUCCGAGAGGAUGAUCAGCCACACUGCGACUGAGACACGGCCCAGGCACCUACGGGAGGAAGCAGUAGGCAAUUUGCCGCAAUGGGCGGAAACCUAACAGAGCAAUGCCACGUGAAAGUAGAAGGCCCACGGGUCAUGAACUGCGUAUCCCAGAGUAGAAGCAAUGACGGUAUCUAAUGAGUAAGCAACGGCUAACUCUGUG
rnacentral:rRNA from 1 species